rnacentral:rRNA from 1 species
AGUCGACGCGAAGUGGAGCAAUCCAUGAGUAGAGUGGCAAACGGGUGAGUAACGCGUGGGCGACCUACCUCAGAGUGGGGGAUAACAUUCCGAAAGGAGUGCUAAUACCGCAUGACAUCCUGCCUUUAGAUAGGUGGAGAUCAAAGCCGGGGAUCGCAAGACCUGGCGCUUGGAGAGGGGCCCGCGUCCGAUUAGCUAGUUGGUGAGGUAAUGGCUCACCAAGGCUCCGAUCGGUAUCCGGCCUGAGAGGGCGGACGGACACACUGGAACUGAGACACGGUCCAGACUCCUACGGGAGGCAGCAGUGGGGAAUUGUUCACAAUGGGCGCAAGCCUGAUGACGCAACGCCGCGUGGAGGAUGAAGACCUUCGGGUCGUAAACUCCUUUCGACCGAGAUGAAUUCCCGCCGACCUAAUACGUCGGCGGGGUGACAGUAUCGAGGGAAGCAGCCCCGGCUAACUCCGUGCCAGCAGCCGCGGUAAUACGGGGGGGGCAAGCGUUGUUCGGAAUUACUGGGUG